GCACCACAAGAACGCGUGGAGCAUGUGGCUUAAUUUGACUCAACGCGGGAAAUCUUACCGGGUCCGGACACACUGAGGAUUGACAGGCAAUAUCUCGGCUGUUUAAUAACCGUUUAUUAAUAAACGGUUUAUUAAACAGAUCGAGUGUUAAAUAUGCUAGUCCUUUCAUGAUUAUGUGAUAGGUGGUGCAUGGCCGUUCUUAGUUCGUGGAGUGAUCUGUCUGCUUAAUUGCGUUUCACUAAGGGCCCAUAAAUUCAAGGUAUGUUAGCAAUCGUCGCUCUAUGGACCCCUUAUUUCAGUUUAUUAAUAAACUGUUAUAAGCGCGCGUCUUGUUUAAAGAGUUUAAGACACUGCGCAUGCUGUUGGGCUCUGAAAGCAACGAACGUGACCGCAACGUCUUGUUGCCUUAAUCAAGUCGGCCGUUUAAUCUGUUUAAUUAAACAAACAGACAGCAGUCAUUAUAUGGCUUAUCCGAGGCUAUUUAAAACUAGACGAACCGCUGUUUCUUUUCUUAAACCAGAGGAAGGUUGCGGCAAUAACAGGUCUGUGAUG
rnacentral:rRNA from 1 species